AAAUCCUUAAUGUGUCAUUGAGGAUAAGGUAAGGGAAAAUAAUGAUAUUACCUUACUAUUAGUGUUGUCUAAAACUCGUGCCAGAAGACUCGGUAAGGCGAGAGACGCAAACGUUAAUCAUCUUGAUCAGGCGUAAAGGGUGUGUAGGCUGUUUAAGUUAAAAUGUUAGUGUGAGGCUGUAUGCCGUACGGCGGGCAUUAGUCCUAUUUGUACUAAUAUGCCUUCUGUACUGGCGUAUACCAUCAUACAGCUAUAUUUUAAUGUAUACUAGAAUCUAAAGGAGGUUAAAACAAUGCUUUAUAUCGAUAAGUGUUCGAACUUAAGANAUUUGGUAGAGUGUUAAAGGCGAAGGCUUUUUUCCAAUAAAGAUUGACGCUGAGAAACGAAGGAGAGGGCAGAAAAAAGGAUUAGAGACCCUUGUAUUCCUCUCUGUCAACGAUGAAUGGUAGUCAUGAGAGAGAAAUAAUCUUAAGGCGAUGUUAACACGUAAAACCAUUCCGCCUUGUGAGUACGACUGCAAAGUUGAAAACAAAAAAAUUAGUCGGUUUCG
rnacentral:rRNA from 1 species